rnacentral:lncRNA from 1 species
CACCGCCCGUCACACCAUGGGAAUAGGUUUCGCCCGAAGCAUCGGACCAAUGAUCACCCAUGACUUCUGUGUACCACUAGUGCCACAAAGGCUUUUGGUGGUCUUAUUGGCGCAUACCACAGUGGGGUUUUCGACUGGGGUGAAGUCGUAACAAGGCAACCGUAGGGGAACCUGUAGCUGGAUUGAAUCCUUCGCGAUGGAAAUUCCCUUCAAGGUGCUUGCUUCCACUGGUGGUGGGCGGGUGAAGGGUCCAAAGGACAUGUAGCCGGGGGCGAGUCAGAAAAUCCGAGAAUUCCAAUUUCCUUCUUGUUCAUCAAUCGAAAAUCAAGACAAACUGGGUACUACAGUGAGAUGUGAAAACACCCGAUCCCAUUCCGACCUCGAUAUGUGUAAUCGUCUUGCGCCAUAUGUACUGAGAUUGUUCGGGAGACAUGGUCCAAGCCCGGUACGAGGAUGACUUGUGCCUAGGA